rnacentral:rRNA from 1 species
AACGAACGCUGGCGGCAGGCUUAACACAUGCAAGUCGAACGAGAUCUUCGGAUCUAGUGGCAGGCGGGUGAGGAACACGUGGGAACAUCCCUUUCAGUUCGGAAUAACGUUGGGAAACUAACGCUAAUACCGGAUACGUCCUUCGGGAGAAAGAUUUAUCGCUGAAUGAUUGGCCCGCGUCUGAUUAGCUAGUUGGUGAGGUAAUGGCUCACCAAGGCUACGAUCAGUAGCUGAUCUGAGAGGAUGAUCAGCCACAUUGGGACUGAGACACGGCCCAAACUCCUACGGGAGGCAGCAGUGGGGAAUAUUGGACAAUGGGCGCAAGCCUGAUCCAGCCAUGCCGCGUGAGUGAUGACGGCCUUCGGGUUGUAAAGCUCUUUUGUCCGGGAAGAUAAUGACUGUACCGGAAGAAUAAGCCCCGGCAAACUUCGUGCCAGCCGCCGCAGUAA